CUAUGCGCCUUGCCAGCCCGCUCAGUCAGAGUUUGAUCCUGGCUCAGGAUGAACGCUGGCGGCGUGCUUAACACAUGCAAGUCGAACGGAGGAUACCCGCCGGAGAGGUUUCGGCCAAACCAUGGGGAUCCUUAGUGGCGGACGGGUGAGUAACGCGUGGGCAACCUGCCCCGUACCGGGGGGAUAACACCUGGAAACAGGUGCUAAUACCGCAUAAGCGCACACUGCUGCAUGGCAGAGUGUGAAAAACUCCGGUGGUACGGGAUGGGCCCGCGUCUGAUUAGCUAGUUGGCGGGGCAGCGGCCCACCAAGGCGACGAUCAGUAGCCGGCCUGAGAGGGUGAACGGCCACAUUGGGACUGAGACACGGCCCAG
rnacentral:rRNA from 1 species